UGAUGCUCCAUCCUGCCUUAACUUGUAUAGCAUCUCAGGAAGUCUUGGCUCCCAGGAAAGGCUAUCAUGGGAAAUCAAUGUAUGUGUUGGACCAAAAUUGAAUGCAUUUUUAAUAAUGUGGAGUUUUCUAAAAGAAGGAGUCAGUAAAAUUUGAGUCAUGGAACAAUGAGCUGGUGAAGAAAUAUUUUGAAAAAUGGUGGAACACGGAGAGAUGUUUUCAUGUUUAUCUGAAUGGCUCUCUGUGUAUUAAGAGUGCAAAAAUGGCAAAUUAGAAGCUGGGCUCUUUUUCAUCAAAACUGUCCACAAACAAGAUGAUUUCUUGGGGCUAAUUUCCAUUCAGGGAUAGUGAGAGUUAUUUUAAACGACCAAAGCCAUUUCAGAAGGGUAAGAGCAUGUCAACAUGUCCACAGGGUCAGAACUGCUCGCUCUUAAAGACUUGAAACGCACCAGAAGCGCUGGUGAUACAAUUCUCUCCCUUUCACAAUGAAUGGAAAUGAGAAAAGGUAUCUUCCUCCGAAACAUGCUAAAAAUAUAGCAAUUACCCGAUACAGAUGUGGUGUUAUAAACUCCUAUUCCAAAGCAUUCUGUUUCAGCCAUGAUUUCCAUUGCAGAAAACUGUGCUAAUAGAAACAUCCCUAUUAAUCUGAAUUUGAGAUAUUUCAUACAAUGUAUAUUACCUUUCUGCUGCCUGCAACCUUCUGCCAGGUUUUUUUUUUCUUUUUAGGAGGUGCUUUGAGGGGACCAUACCAUGAGAACAAUACACAGCUGCUGCUGUAUACAGAUAUCUAAUUGUCAAUAUUGUGGAAAUUCUACAGCUUAUUACGUGCAUUCAGUCUAAUUCUGGGCAAAUUGCCAGUCACUUCAGGGACAAUCAAGUGAGCCACAUUACACGUGGUACAGCAUCACAGCUUUAAGAUACCCGGCUGUUUUGCCUCUGGCCAGAGAAUGUUUGUACCAGUGCUACCGAGUGAAGGGGGGUAACUACAAAUAAAAUAAAAUUUGUAUUUUUUCAAGUGGGCUGCAUUUCAAGCCCAGAUGUUAGUAAUGAAAGAUUCAAUUUAAGGAUUUAAAUUACAAAUAAAUAAAGUAUGAAACAGAUGUGAUUUUUAAGGAAGUUCAAAUUAUCCAGGAAGAAAAAUAUCUCUGUGCAUGACAAAGUAAUAGGGAUUGUCUUGAAGAAUCUGUUGAAAACAAUCUGCUAAGCGCAAUUCACCCUUAGGACAGGAUUGGUUUGGAAUGGGAAGGACUGGUGGAGCUUGUCAUUAAACAAAAAUUGUGUUUAAUAAAACUUUAUAACCGUGAUUAAUCCUAUGAGGCCCUAAAGGAGUUUGCAGUUUCUGAUAAACACAUUUUCCUUGUUUGCAAUGGUAAUGAUAUUUUGAAGUGAAUGGAAUAAGAACAAAAAACUCUAAGGGUAGAAAAAGGAGUGUUUGGCAGGUACCACCAAGGCAGAAAUUACAGGGACAUGUAAGAAACAAGGGCCACCCAUUAGGAAACUGCUUUGAUGUGUGUGUGACACAUAUACCUAAAGAUGGGUGUAAAUAUUACUGAGAAACAAAGCUAUUGAGCAGGCAGUAAUGGAGCACAUCUUCAUUUAUACAGACAAGCUAAGGCUUUUUUAAAUUCUAAGUUGAUCAUUAGGUUUGCCCAUCAAAAGGAUGACAGUGAUGUAAGACACAAGGUCUCAUAUU
rnacentral:lncRNA from 1 species